UGAGGAAUUUUGCGCAAUGGGAGCAAUCCUGACGCAGCAACGCCGCGUGGGUGAUGAAGGCCUUCGGGUCGUAAAGCCCUGUCAGGUGGGAAGAACGUCCUGUGGAUGCAUAAGCCAUGGGAGUGACGGUACCACCAGAGGAAGCACCGGCUAACUCCGUGCCAGCAGCCGCGGUAAUACGGAGGGUGCGAGCGUUAUUCGGAAUUACUGGGCGUAAAGCGCGUGUAGGCGGGGAGGCAAGUCUGAUGUGAAAGCCCCGGGCUUAACCUGGGAAGUGCAUUGGAAACUGCUUUUCUUGAGUGCUGGAGAGGAAGGGGGAAUUCCCGGUGUAGAGGUGAAAUUCGUAGAGAUCGGGAGGAAUACCAGUGGCGAAGGCGCCCUUCUGGACGGCAACUGACGC
rnacentral:rRNA from 1 species